rnacentral:misc_RNA from 1 species
CAUGCAACAAUGUCGUGGUGCAAGGGUUUAUCUUAAUGGGAGGUAACUCCAUUUAGAAGUGACUUUUGUACCAGGUCGCGGUAGACUCCGACCCCGCUGAGGAGGUGGUUGCCGAGCGUGCAGAAUGGCCAGUGAUGAUGUUUUGCGAGACGGUGUUCGAGGGAGCCUUGGCGCCUGGAUUCAGAAGCUUGAGUGUGGUGGCGAUGUUGAACGUCAAAUGUUUUUCAAGAAACGGUUCAUUGAGCGUCUCCGGAAGUCAGCGAUUGCCAUAGAAACAGACAAGGCUAAUGAACAACAUUACGAGGUCCCCACCGAAUUCUUCCUCGCGUCUUUGGGGUCACGGCUGAAGUAUAGCGGGUGCUAUUGGCCGGAGGGCGUCUCUACGCUUGACCAGGCUGAGGAAGCUUCCUUGGGUUUGUACUGUGAGCGAGCGAAGAUUGAAGAUGGACACACAGUCAUGGACUUAGGAUGUGGAUGGGGGUCCUUCGGCCUGUACGUGUGCGAGAAGUUCCCUCGCUGCAGAGUCACGUGUGUGUCCAACUCGAACACCCAGAGGGCGCUGAUCACUGCACGUGCGGAACAGAGGGGGUACCGCGACAGACUGGAGGUCAUCACAGCAGACGCCAAUGAAUUCCUGACCUCCAAGAAAUACGACAGGAUUGUUUCCAUAGAGAUGUUCGAGCACAUGAAGAACUACGGGGUUCUCUUCCAACGCGUGUCGUCGUGGCUGAAACCCUCGGGUUACCUGUUUGUCCAAGUCUUCUGUCACAGGGAGCACCCCUACGCCUUCGACACCACCCCCGGGUCGGACACAGAGUGGAUGGCCAAGAACUUCUUCUCGGGUGGCACCAUGCCGUCACGUGACCUGUUCCUCUACUUCCAGAAUGACGUCACAAUAGUCAACCAGUGGGUGGUCAAUGGAACGCAUUACGCCAAGACCCUGGAGGCGUGGCUUCAACGGACAGACGGGAAUAAGGAGCGCGUCAUGCACAUUCUCCGCCAAUCAUACGGCGAGGAUGCAGAACAGCAACUGUUCAACUGGCGAUUGUUCUACAUGUUCUGUUUAGAAGUAUUCGGAUAUAAGGGCGGGAAUGAGUGGUUCCUCACUCACGUGCUGAUGAAGAGGAAGCUACAAAGCUCUUUAUAGAACGUCUUCACAGUGAUGCUCUAUUUGAAUCGUUCCAAUGUUCCAACGUUCAAGGGGCGGUCGGGUAGCCCAGUGGUUAAAGCGUUCG